CUCAGGAAGCAAACACUCAGGGGGGUCAAGGGGUUACUUUCUGCCAAGCAACAAGUGACCUCAAACAUCAUUAAGACUUGUGGUCAUUUGAACAUCUUGGACAAUCAUUUGAAACUGGAGGUGGCGUUCCCAUAUUGCUGUCUCAGGCAUGUUCCUGCUCAUCCUGAUUUACCAAAAACCAACGCGGCAUCCAAUCUGACAGGAUUCCUCGCCCACAUAAAAAAAAAAAAAGGUUCGUCUCAUCUGUUACACUGGCGUGUAUCCGACUUCAAACACACGCCAGGCCUCACCUUCCUUUCCUUCAGCCUGACAAAAAAAAAAAAAAAAAAAGAGCUGGCUUAUUCAUAUUCCGCUCCACUCCCAU